AGUGAACGCUGGCGGUAGGCCUAACACAUGCAAGUCGAACGGCAGCACAGUAAGAGCUUGCUCUUACGGGUGGCGAGUGGCGGACGGGUGAGGAAUACAUCGGAAUCUACUUUUUCGUGGGGGAUAACGUAGGGAAACUUACGCUAAUACCGCAUACGACCUACGGGUGAAAGCAGGGGAUCUUCGGACCUUGCGCGAUUGAAUGAGCCGAUGUCGGAUUAGCUAGUUGGCGGGGUAAAGGCCCACCAAGGCGACGAUCCGUAGCUGGUCUGAGAGGAUGAUCAGCCACACUGGAGCUGAGACACGGUCCAGACGCCUACGGGAGGCAGCAGUGGGGAAUAUUGGACAAUGGGCGCAAGCCUGAUCCAGCCAUACCGCGUGGGUGAAGAAGGCCUUCGGGUUGUAAAGCCCUUUUGUCGGGAAAGAAAAGCAGCAGGUUAAUACCCCGCUGUUCUGACGGUACCCAAAGAAUAAGCACCGGCUAACUUCGUG
rnacentral:rRNA from 1 species